rnacentral:misc_RNA from 1 species
GGCAGCGUCAGAUGGGUAUAAGAGACAGGUGAAUCAUCGAAUCUUUGAACGCACAUUGCGCCCUGUGGUAUUCCGCAGGGCAUGCCUGUUCGAGCGUCAUUUCAACCCUCAAGCUCUGCUUGGUGUUGGGCCACGCCCCCGCGGCCGGCCCCAAAGCUAGUGGCGGUGCCGUCUGGCUCUAAGCGUAGUACAUCUCUCGCUCUAGGGCCCGGCGGUUGCUUGCCAGAACCCACACUCUUAUGGUUGACCUCGGAUCAGGUAGGGAUACCCGCUGAACUUAAGCAUAUCAAUAAGCGGAGG